GGCGACGUAGCCAAGUGGUAAGGCAGGGGUCUGCAAAACCCCCAUGCGUGGGUUCAAAUCCCACCGUCGCCU
rnacentral:tRNA from 1 species